rnacentral:snRNA from 1 species
AUUUCCUUUGGAGAUAUUCGAUAAAAUUGAAACGAUACAGAGAAGAUUAACAUUUCCCUGUCCAAAGGAUGACACACGCAAAUCGAGAAAUGAUCCAAUUUGUU